rnacentral:rRNA from 1 species
CCUACGGGAGGCAGCAGUGGGGAAUAUUGGACAAUGGGCGAAAGCCUGAUCCAGCAAUGCCGCGUGAGUGAUGAAGGCCUUAGGGUUGUAAAGCUCUUUUACCCGGGAUGAUAAUGACAGUACCGGGAGAAUAAGCUCCGGCUAACUCCGUGCCAGCAGCCGCGGUAAUACGGAGGGAGCUAGCGUUAUUCGGAAUUACUGGGCGUAAAGCGCACGUAGGCGGCUUUGUAAGUAAGAGGUGAAAGCCCAGAGCUCAACUCUGGAAUUGCCUUUUAGACUGC